CCAGCUUUCAGGACUUGAGGAGCAGACCUGGGGAGAAGGAGCUAGAUUAUAAGGUUACGACCUCCCGGGCCUCAGAAAUCCCCCCCUUUUGGAAAGUGCGUUACGAGGCACCGAUCUUGCCUUAAGGGGACCCUCGCCUAAAAGUCUCAAGUUGCAGGAGAUGGCUGACGCUUUGAAGCCUCCUCUCUUAUAACGCAGCGAUUGUCCCAACAGCGUCUACUCCGCCCGAGCUGGCCCCAAAUAUUGGCACGCCCCUCUGCCCCUGGAGCCAAAGGCUGGUGGCAUCUCUUGCCCCACCACCCCAUUAGUCCUUUGGCCCGAAGUGGGAGACCUAUCAGCGGGGAUCGGGGUCAAUCGCCAGCGCCCCGGGCUCUCCCACUAGACGGCGCGGGGUCUGUACGGGUCACCUACGGUCGCUGCGCCCUACGCCCAGAGCCUCGGAGCUGCAAACCCAGUCAUAGCCCGAGGGCUGCCCCGGAGAGGGAGCAGCCGGGAGAGCCACUUGGGAGACCGUGGCGGUUUGGCCAGGAC
rnacentral:lncRNA from 1 species